UACGUAGGGGGCAAGCGUUGUCCGGAAUUAUUGGGCGUAAAGGGCACGCAGGCGGUUCCUUAAGUCUGAUGUGAAAGCCCACGGCUCAACCGUGGAGGGUCAUUGGAAACUGGGGGACUUGAGUGUAAGAGAGGAAAGCGGAAUUCCACGUGUAGCGGUGAAAUGCGUAGAGAUGUGGAGGAACACCAGUGGCGAAAGCGGCUUUCUGGCUUACAACUGACGCUGAGGUGCGAAAGCGUGGGUAGCGAACAGG
rnacentral:rRNA from 1 species